UUAUCAAGGGGUGCUCGCUAGUGCGGGCUGAGAUGAUACCCUCAUACCUGAUACGGGUAAUGCCGACGUAGGGAUGGAUAGUAUU
rnacentral:ncRNA from 1 species